rnacentral:snRNA from 10 species
GUGCUUGCUUCGGCAGCACAUAUACUAAAAUUGAAAUGAUACAGAGAAGAUUAGCAUAGUCCCUGAACAAGGAUGACAUGCAAAUAAAAAUUUAA